rnacentral:rRNA from 1 species
CUACGGGAGGCUUCAGUGGGGAAUAUUGGACAAUGGGGGCAACCCUGAUCCAGCAAUUCCGUGUGUAUGAUGAAGGUCUUCGGAUUGUAAAGUACUUUCAAUGGGGAAGAAGAAAAUGACGGUACCCAUAGAAGAAGCACCGGCUAAUUACGUGCCAGCAGCCGCGGUAAGACGUAAGGUGCAAGCGUUAUCCGGAAUCACUGGGCGUAAAGGGCGUCUAGGUUGCAAUGCAAGUCAGGGGUGAAAAGUCUGGGCGCAACCGAGGCCUUGCCUUUGAAACUGCAUAGCUAGAGUACUGGAAAGGAGGGCGGAACUACAAGUGUAGCGGUGAAAUGCGUAGAUAUUUGUAGGAAUGCCAAUGUCGAAGGAAGCUCUCUAGACAGAUACUGACACUGAAGCGCGAAAGCUAGGGGAGCAAACAGGAUUAGAUACCCCGUAGUC